GGCGUCCUGUUCCAGCACACGAAAUGCAUGUCCUCUAGGAAAACAACAUAACGUUAUAAAAGCAUUUCAGAAAUUAUAACUUCUGAAAUCUUUCUUUGUUUAUUUAGGAAGUUGGAUAUGUAGGUAUCAAUCAAACCCUUCCCCUUAAUAUUGUCUAUACAAGUCCUAAAAACUUGAAUCCCUUGUGCAUCCAAGACCUGUAUGGUGGCACUGUGCAGGUAAGCAAAGAGAACAUGUGAGUGGUCUCUGAGAAUUUGAAAAUGCUCCACCAGGAUAUUUGUCCACUGGAGAGACGUUAUAGUGGAAAGUGGAAUAAGACUAUGUUACUGGACAUCCACCAUGAAGCACCUUCAGAGGACAAUAACAGGAAAAAAACACCAAGUGACUACUUUUUAACAAACACGAGAAAUUCUGCCUGAUCUCGUUGACGUCAUUUCCGGUUCCUCUCCAGAUGACAUUUCCCUUGCCUGACUUUAAAAGCCGCCAUAUUCCUUCUGUCAAUCAGUUCUGUUUUGAACUCACAUUUGUAACAAGCUCUCAUUUAUCUUUUUUGUUUUGCCUAUGUUGCAGCCACACUCCAAGUAUAUGAGAGGCUACCACAAAUCUUUUUCUGUGUCAAGGCGUAUUCUUUCCACAAUAUAAAAAGAAAAGCUGUAGAGCAGUGAAACAUGCUAGAGUGUAAUUUAGGGCUUUGUU